GUCACUUCGGUGGCGAGUACAGUGGCGCACGGGUGAGUAACGCGUAGAUGAUCUACCCUUCAGUCUGGGACAACUCUUGGAAACGGGAGCUAAUACCGGAUAAAACCUUCGGGUUGAAAGAUUUAUCGCUGGGGGAUGAGUCUGCGUACCAUUAGCUUGUUGGUGGGGUAACGGCCUACCAAGGCAACGAUGGUUAGCGGGUCUGAGAGGACGAUCCGCCACACUGGAACUGAGACACGGUCCCAGACUCCUACGGGAGGCAGCAGUAGGGAAUAUUGCGCAAUGGGGGCAACCCUGACGCAGCAAUGCCGCGUGAGUGAAGAAGGCCUUCGGGUCGUAAAGCUCUUUUAUGGGGGAAGAUGAUGACGGUACCCCAUGAAUAAGCACCGGCUAACUACGUGCCAGCAGCCGCGGUAAUACGUAGGGUGCGAGCGUUGUUCGGAAUUACUGGGCGUAAAGGGCGUGCAGGCGGAUUGGCAAGCCGGAGGUGAAAGCCCGGGGCUCAACCCCGGAGGGUCUUUCGGAACUGCCAGUCUUGAGAGGGUCAGGGGCCAGCGGAAUUCCUGGUGUAGAGGUGAAAUUCGUAGAGAUCAGGAGGAACACCGGCGGCGAAAGCGGCUGGCUGGGGCCACUCUGACGCUGAGGCGCGAAAGCGUGGGGAGCAAACAGGAUUAGAUACCCUGGUAGUCCACGCCGUAAACGAUGGGCACUAAGCGUCCGACGGGUUCGACCCUGUUGGGUGCUGCAGUUAACGCGUUAAGUGCCCCGCCUGGGGAGUACGGNCGCAAGACUAAAACUC
rnacentral:rRNA from 1 species